ensembl:lncRNA
GGCAGCCAGCCAGAAGCUCCAUCCAGCUACAAGAAGUUUGUAAGCAGAAUUAUUUUCUUAGCACCUCAUCAUGUUUCCUGCAGAAGCUUGGGCAGUCAGACAGGUUUUCCAUCCUGGUAGGCUAGAAAACAUGGGGUGAUUAUUUAGACAAGAUGUUGAAUAUUACUUGAUGAUUGCCUUGCAGAGAGGGCUGCUGAUAGGGGAGAGGGGAGAAAAAGUCUGGAGGCAUGAAAAAGGGAACAAUUGAGCCAAAUCAGUACUGGGUAUUUGAAGUCUGUCUUUUUCCUAUGCCUGCUAAUUCUAAGUCCAAAAUUAGAGCAGGUUUGACUACUUUUACAGCUGGAUGUGGGAGAUGUGUAAGUGCAUGUCUCAGGCUCAGCAGAAAGCAGGAAUUUUCCUAGGGGUUAGCUCAGUCUAAAUGCUGGACUGGCUUUGUCCUGGCUCCAGCUCUCCAAGCCUUGAUCUUGUCUGGUGGUACUUCUACACUGAGAAGUACCUGGAAUUAAAAAGUUAGAGAGUUAUUACGAAGGUAAUUAGCACAAGAGAGGAGAGACCUGCUGCUUGUUUCUGACAUACAGGUCUCAUAUCAGUUCUCUUAUGGAAAAAAACAAAAACAAAAACAAAACAAAAAAACCCCUCCAGAUGUUGCCUACAGACCCAAGGAAAACAGAUUUGUUGAAAUUAUUUCAGGUAGGCUGUGAAACCACACAGACAAAUAUCCAUCACUGGAAAACACCACUGAUCUACAGACAAGCUUGGUUCUGGCUGACUGUUGUGCCCCACACCAGACUCCAGAAUGUCAAUGUCACUGGAUUACACCAUUCUGCUGGGGAAGUCUGUUCAAGUUUCUGUUCAGAUCCUCAGUGUGUUCCUCUGAUUCUUGUCUGAGUUCUGCGGAGACAAUUCAAGACUGAAAGAUCUUACUGCUGCAGAAAGUUGGAAGAAUUGUUUUCCCCUCACAAAGCUGCAGAAGAAUGCUGCAGUGUUGUUGGAGAUCUGGGACUGGAUUAAGCUGGAAGUAGGAAGCUGGGGACGUGAAAACAAUGUGAAUCAAAACUGAAGAAAAUAUUCUUGUGAAACGUAAUUCACUUACACAGCUAGCAGUUGUUGUGUGGCUCUUAAUAGCUGCAAACCCAGAAUGUGUUCCUGCUACUAAACUUGGCUCACUUUUCUCUUGAACUUUAAGUAGGGUCUUGCUUUGAAGGUAUAAAAUCUUGACUAUAUUUAUAUGUACCACUCUGCCUAAGUAAAAUGUAAAGUAACACAACCCAGCUGUAUUAUCAAUAAGAUGUUAAGAAUAUCUCUAGCUUAUCUAAAUUUGGGCUUCUAAUGUGGCAACUACAUUGGAGCUGACCUGGUGUUAGGAAAGCGUUUCCAGCUGUCCCAGCACUGUAGGCAUCCUCAAGGCAUCUUCCUGCAGACUGCCCUGUCAGCACAGUUGUCACAGGAAAAGAGGUGGGUUUUUAAUAUUUUUUAUUUAUCAGCAUGCAUGUGUACUAACAGGUCAAGGUGGACCCUAAGCUUCCUAUCACCUCUAAAACACACACUAUUGUGUAUACAGAGCUACACCAUUUGCAAAAUACCUCCUCUCACCUCCUAACUUAAAUCAAGAAUGUGGGUUUCUUUUCAGGUAGUGUACAGCCACUUAAGUUCUGUCCUCUUGAGUGAUGGCCUUUUGAGGAAGCUCUGCUGUGAAAGAGUUCUGUGAAGCUUCCCCACGUGAAAGGUCUUACAAACUCUCUACCCUCUGCUGGGAAGGUGCUUCUUUUUCAAGUGAGCCAUUUGAUGUAUGGAAAAUUAUUUAGCAAAAAGGCCCCUUCUGAAGAUAAGAUGCCUGAUGCUAUUCUGGAGAGUCUUUCAAAGAAUUAGAGAUACCAUUCAGUGGUGUCAGACUGAACUGCCCUGAAGAUUUUAGGGUUAGCGUUUGGCUGGUUUGGGUGUUUUUCUGUGGUCAUUUUUUAAAAAUACGUUUGUAUUUAAAAACAUGUAUUUUUUAAAACAUGUAUUUUUUAAAUACAUUUGAUAUUUUUUUCUCUCAAACUACCUGAGAAGUAUCUCAUGUAUUCUGGAACCUACUGAUUCCACUGAUUCCAUAGCUGUAAAUGUGUCUGAGAGACGUAAGCAGUUGCUGAAGAUAUAGUAUGAAGUGGUUUGUGGGGAGGAAUUCUCAGCUACAAAAUUACAUCUGCUACAAUGACCUUUCAGCUCUACCUUUUUUUUAAUUAUUAUUAUUUUAUUUUUUCCCCUUGGCAAUUGUAUGGUAACUGUUGAGUCCCAGCCUGAACCACUGAUUGAGCACCUGGGGAAAGGACCCUGUCAGCCCUGGGAGCACAGGUGAAGGCAAUUCAGCUGUGAGACAGGAAGGGGUAGAACCUGGCUGCACCUCUCUUAGACCUCAUUGAAGGGCUGAGUGCCACUGGGGAAGGAGCUCUGGUUGGAGAUGCUUCUUUGGUGAAGCUUUCCCCUGCAAAUCUGGAAUCUUCUGAUAUGGGUGAGCAAUCUUCCCUUCCCUUAUAGCACUUCUGUAUUGUGCCUGUUCUUUCAUCAUCACACCUUUGUUGUAAUGCCUUUCCCAUUGUAUUGAUCCAUCCAAUUGCUACAGCAACAUUUUAAAAUCACACCACUGGCAAUGAUCUGUGAGUCAGAGGUCACUAAUGUUUUAGGAUUAGCAUUGCAGCUUUUAACAGGUGUGGGUAUUAGGUGCUCUUAUAACAGAAGGAAAGGUUACGUGUUUCCUGUUACAUAUUUUGUAUUUGCACAAGAAGGUGGUGCAGGUUCGUAGAGAUUAAGACUUGGCAGUUUCUUAUGGAAGGGACUCUGGAGGCAAGAUACCUUUUAACGAUUUGGGUAUGGCAUGGAUUAGGUUACUCAAAUUGCCUGGCGAAGCAGGGAAUCCACAGCAGAUCUCCUCUUACCCUGCCUGAGAACUGUCUGAGUCUUGGGAUGCAGAGCUGGGCCUGAGUAAAAUCUGGGACUGGUCCUCUCUGUGACAAAGCCUUGCAUCUUUUUCAACAGAGGGAUGAGGAAACUUGCAUACAAUGUCACCAAGAUAUAACAGUAGGUAACAGAUAAUAUCAAAUAAAUGCAUUUGGAAUGAGGUUUUGUGUGGGGUA